rnacentral:rRNA from 1 species
GUUUGAUGGUGGCUCAGGAUGAACGCUAGCGGGAGGCCUAACACAUGCAAGCCGAGCGGUAUUUGUUCUUCGGAACAGAGAGAGCGGCGCACGGGUGCGGAACACGUGUGCAACCUGCCUUUAUCUGGGGGAUAGCCUUUCGAAAGGAAGAUUAAUACCCCAUAAUAUAUUGAGUGGCAUCAUUUGAUAUUGAAAACUCCGGUGGAUAGAGAUGGGCACGCGCAAGAUUAGAUAGUUGGUGAGGUAACGGCUCACCAAGUCAAUGAUCUUUAGGGGGCCUGAGAGGGUGAUCCCCCACACUGGUACUGAGACACGGACCAGACUCCUACGGGAGGCAGCAGUGAGGAAUAUUGGACAAUGGGUUAGCGCCUGAUCCAGCCAUCCCGCGUGAAGGACGACGGCCCUAUGGGUUGUAAACUUCUUUUGUAUAGGGAUAAACCUACUCU